rnacentral:rRNA from 1 species
CAGUUCGGAUUGUAGUCUGCAACCCGACUACAUGAAGCUGGAAUCGCUAGUAAUCGCGGAUCAGAAUGCCGCGGUGAAUACGUUCCCGGGUCUUGUACACACCGCCCGUCACACCAUGGGAGUCGGAAAUGCCCGAAGUCUGUGACCCAACCUUAGGGAGGGAGCAGCCGAAGGCAGGUCGGAUGACUGGGGUGAAGUCGUAACAAGGUACC